UACGUAGGACCCAAGCGUUGUCCGGAAUUACUGGGUGUAAAGGGUGCGUAGGCGGGCUUGCGCGUCGAAGGUUAAAGACCACAGCUUAACUGCGGAAGUGCCUUCGAUACGGUGAGUCUUGAAUAUGAGAGAGGUAAGUAGAAUUCCUGGUGUAGCGGUGAAAUGCGUAGAUAUCAGGAGGAAUACCAGUGGCGAAGGCGGCUUACUGGCUCAUUAUUGACGCUGAGGCACGAAAGCGUGGGGAUCAAACAGG
rnacentral:rRNA from 1 species